rnacentral:rRNA from 1 species
CAAGUCGCACGAGAAAGGGCUUCGGCCUGAGUAAAGUGGCGCACGGGUGAGUAACACGUGAAUAAUCUACCUUCGAGUGGGGAAUAACUGAGAGAAAUCUUAGCUAAUACCGCAUAAUACCUACGGGUCAAAGCCGCAAGGCGCUUGAAGAGGAGUUCGCGGCCGAUUAGCUAGUUGGCGGGGUAAUGGCCCACCAAGGCGUUGAUCGGUAUCCGGUCUGAGAGGGCGCACGGACACACUGGAACUGAAACACGGUCCAGACUCCUACGGGAGGCAGCAGUGGGGAAUUUUGCGCAAUGGGGGAAACCCUGACGCAGCAACGCCGCGUGGAGGAUGAAGUAUCUUGGUACGUAAACUCCUUUCGAUAGGGAAGAUAAUGACGGUACCUAUAGAAGAAGCCCCGGCUAACUUCGUGCCAGCAGCCGCGGU